GGGCAAUUAGCUCAGCGGGAGAGCGCUCGCCUCACACGCGAGAGGUCAGAGGUUCGAAACCUCUAUUGCCCA
rnacentral:tRNA from 1 species